rnacentral:tRNA from 7 species
GCCCCCGUAGCUCAGUGGAUAGAGCACCGGCCUUCUAAUCCGAUUGUCGUAGGUUCGAUUCCUACCGGGGGCACCG